rnacentral:rRNA from 1 species
AUGGCCACUACCUUCCGCCACAUCUUCCUUAAAGCCGCUGAGGCCUUUUGCUGGUUGAUUUGCACAAUUUCCGGCAUGCUUCUCUUAGUGCUAGCACUGACCCUUUUUGCAUCCACUAGUUCCACUCAUCCAUCUCCUUCUUCCGCUCCCACCGCUAGUUCCACCUCCUAUCACGGCACUUGCGAUGAAGAUGAGUUGCAUCGACUCAUGGCAACUCAUGUGGGCUAUGUAGUUUGCGCUAUGGCCAUUGCCAUGUUGUUGAUGGUCUUUGUUCGGAAGGUUGCGGACGGGGCAGCCAAGGACCACGAGCGGGUCGCCGCCUCGGAGGACGCAGCUUACAAGGCUGCGUACGAUGCCGCGGAGGUGGCCAAAGAGGCUAUCGGGCGCGCCGAGAAGGAGGUCAAGGAGCUCAACGACCCGCGUCGCGUCAAUCUUGCCCUGGGCGUUCUCGAGGGCGACCAGGCUUUGGCCGACGCCCGGAAGAAGCUGGAUGCGUGCGUCCAGGAGUAUAGGCGCGCCACCGAUAAGGUGGAACGCUUGAAGCCCAAGGAAGGUAUUGCUCGUCUCAACAAACGGUGGAGAAUUGCUGCGCGUUCCGCUUUCUCUUUGGCUAUUUGUGCACAUUACAUAGGUUUGGGCUGUGUAGGAUUUGCAUUUUACUACUCCUUAGAGAUAGAGACCAAGUGCAUGACGAGCUUCCUGACAAUCUUGCUGUUCGUGCUCACUGGAGUUGUAUCCACCACCAUUCAUGGUCUCUUACUUUGGGUAUCCUUGACCCAAAACUGA